AUUGAACGCUGGCGGCAGGCCUAACACAUGCAAGUCGAGCGAGCGGCGGACGGGUGAGUAAUGUAUGGGGACUGCCCGAUAGAGGGGGAUAACUACUGGAAACGGUGGCUAAUACCGCAUACUAUCGGAUAACCCAUAUGGGAUUAGCUAGUGGGUGGGGUAAAGGCGCACCAAGGCGCAGAUCUCGAGCUGGUCUGAGAGGAUGAUCAGCCACACUGGGAUGGAGACACGGCCCAGACUCCUACGGAGGCAGCAGUGGGGAAUAUUGCACAAUGGGCGCAAGCCUGAUGCAGCCAUGCCGCUUGUAUGAAGAAGGCCUUAGGGUUGUAAAGUUCUUUCGGUAGCGAGGCGUUAACUACAGAAGAAGCACCGGCUAACUCCGUGCCAGCAGCCGCGGUAAUAC
rnacentral:rRNA from 1 species